GACGGAGGGUGCUAGCGUUGUUCGGAAUCACUGGGCGUAAAGGGCGCGUAGGCGGGCUGUCCAGUCUGGGGUGAAAUCCCGCGGCUCAACCGUGGAACUGCCUCAGAUACUGACGGCCUCGAGGGAGAUAGGGGCAUGCGGAACUGUAGGUGGAGCGGUGAAAUGCGUUGAUAUCUACAGGAACUCCGGUGGCGAAGGCGGCGUGCUGGGCCGAUACUGACGCUGAGGAGCGAAAGCGUGGGGAGCGAACAGG
rnacentral:rRNA from 1 species